UCCACCCAUUUCCCGGUGCCUCCUAGGAAAAUGGCCGAGGACUACCGGGUCUCUUUCCCACCCGAAUACCGGCUGUGUUCUUUGCCAAGUCUCCCUCACUGGCAGCCUCCAGCUCUUAGAUUUUAAGGCUGUUAGUUCUUGCGGACUUUGCCUCUUUUGUCCAACCCUCUAGUCCCUUUUCCCUCAGGUAAUUUAUUGACGCCAUCGCAGAUGGAAACACUGCCCAUCUGAGAAAAAGCCAGGAAACAAAGCGACUUUCCAAGGGUGGAGAAAGAAGUUACCCCAGGUAGCGUCUGACCUGGGCGCAUGUGCGGCUUAUAGCUGCUCACAGUGCCUACCGCGUGCCCCGGGCGCUUUCCCUCUGGUCUUCAGGGCCACGCCAGGCACCCCCCAGCUUCUGGCAGUACUGGCUGCUGGCGGCUCAAGCGGCGGCCCCCUCUGGGCACUGCCUACAGCCACAGAGAACCGCCUUGUGCAAGUACCUCCGCCUCUCACGACGCAACAGGGGGGCCAAGAACUGGCUGAUGGAAUCAUACAGACACCUGGUCCCCUGGCCUCGUUUUGGGACAGCGCUGAAAGGCCAUCCCAGCUCCAGAGCCCCCUGUGGGACGGGCCGAGGCCUCAGUGGCAGCCACACCACCGGGGGAGCUCCCCGGCCCCACCUGCCCCCCUCAUUGUCUUCACGUGUCUCUCCCACCAGCGCGCCCGGUCAACCUUCCACCUGGGACCGAUCCCAGGAAACCUCCUGCAGAUCAUUUGGAAAAUAAAAAUGAAGAAGCUGAAUAAGGAGAUAUGGUCUGACAUCUGCAUUCUGAAGUGUCAACUUAAAGUGACCAUUGUUUCUGUAUGUGCCUGAGGUAAUUCUGUGUGCUCGAGUUGGGAGUGGGAGUGUGGACUCAACAUUUCAAGUAUCCAGAGAUACUUAAACAGCAUCUGAUGGGCGCCAGUCGAGAAUUGACAUCCGCAGAGGUGGUGACUUAGCACUUGAGGAAUGAAAAGAGGUAUUUUGAUUGGUGAGGUAAGUGGUGUUCUGUCUAAGAGUGUUGCACGAGCUCUACAACCCUUGUAGGAGCAAGGUGUGAAAUCCCAGCCCCGGUGUCUCAUGCCGCAGAACCAGCCAGUCACGUUAUGAGGAGCAGAGGAGCAUCUUC